rnacentral:rRNA from 1 species
UACGUAGGGUGCAAGCGUUGUCCGGAAUUAUUGGGCGUAAAGAGCUCGUAGGCGGUCUGUCGCGUCGGCUGUGAAAACUCGGGGCUCAACUCCGAGCUUGCAGUCGAUACGGGCAGGCUAGAGUUCGGCAGGGGAGACUGGAAUUCCUGGUGUAGCGGUGAAAUGCGCAGAUAUCAGGAGGAACACCGGUGGCGAAGGCGGGUCUCUGGGCCGAUACUGACGCUGAGGCACGAAAGCGUGGGGAGCAAACAGG